rnacentral:snoRNA from 1 species
GUUCCUCUUAGAACACUUGCUGGGUCUGAUCUGUGGCCUGGGGAGCUGUCAGAGAAGGGCAGAGCAAUUGGCCACCACUGAGUGAGAUGGCAGCAGGAUAUGCUGUCUGUCUCAAUCAGUGUGGGACAGAGA